GACAGAGGGUGCUAGCGUUGUUCGGAAUCGCUGGGCGUAAAGGGCGCGUAGGCGGCCUGGUCAGUCGGGUGUGAAAGCCCGGGGCUCAACCCCGGAACGGCAUUCGAUACGGCCAGGCUGGAGUCCGGGAGAGGAAGGUGGAAUACCCAGUGUAGAGGUGAAAUUCGUAGAUAUUGGGUGGAACACCAGUGGCGAAGGCGGCCUUCUGGUCCGGAACUGACGCUGAGGCGCGAAAGCGUGGGGAGCAAACAGG
rnacentral:rRNA from 1 species